rnacentral:rRNA from 1 species
AUACGUAGGGGGCAAGCGUUAUCCGGAUUUACUGGGUGUAAAGGGAGCGUAGACGGUUUGGCAAGUCUGAUGUGAAAGCCCGGGGCUCAACCGCGGGACUGCAUUGGAAACUGUCAGACUUGAGUGCAGGAGAGGUAAGUGGAAUUCCUAGUGUAGCGGUGAAAUGCGUAGAUAUUAGGAGGAACACAGGUGGCGAAGGCGGCUUACAGAGUUACAACUGUCGUUUAGGCUCGAAAGCGUGGAGAGCAAACAGGAUUAGAUCCCCUGGUAGUCCACGCCGUAAACGAUGAAUGCUAGGUGUUGGGAGACAAUAGUUUCUCGGUGCCGCAGCAAACGCAAUAAGUAUUCCACCUGGGGAGUACGUUCGCAAGAAUGAAACUCAAAUGAAUUGACGGGG